CUGUCACCCCGGGCCAAACCCGCCCCAUCGUCCCUCACUCACUCUCCGCCUGUUCCCCCGCACGGCUCGGCUCGGACACACGCAGGCAGCACUUACGCACAACACACGGACACGCAAUGGAGACGGAAGGGAGCCAGAGCAGCCUGUCCAGCACGGACUCCCCCCACGACCCCUGCAAAAUGUUCAUAGGUGGACUCAGCUGGCAAACAACACAAGAGGGUCUGAAGGAGUACUUCUGCAAGUACGGCGAGGUGAAGGAGUGUAUGGUGAUGCGAGAUCCAGUUACUAAGCGCUCGAGAGGGUUUGGAUUCGUCACCUUUGUUGAUCAGGCCGGUGUGGAUAAAGUUUUGGCCCAAACCAGGCACGAGUUGGACUCAAAAACAAUCGACCCAAAGGUGGCUUUCCCUCGCAGAGCUCAGCCCAAGUUAGUGACUCGAACCAAGAAGAUCUUUGUGGGCGGUCUGUCCGUGAACACGACCAUCGAGGACGUGAAACAGUACUUCGACCAGUUUGGGAAGGUCGACGAUGCCAUGCUCAUGUUCGACAAGACCACCAACAGACACAGAGGGUUCGGAUUUGUGACGUUUGAAAACGAGGAUGUGGUCGAGAAAGUCUGCGAGAUCCACUUCCAUGAGAUCAACAACAAAAUGGUGGAGUGUAAGAAAGCUCAGCCCAAGGAGGUGAUGUCUCCCACGGGCUCAGCCAGGGGGCGCUCUCGUGUGAUGCCCUAUGGGAUGGACGCCUUCAUGUUGGGCAUCGGUAUGCUAGGUUAUCCAGGUUUCCAGACGGCCACCUACACCAGCCGGAGCUACGCUGGCAUCACUCCUGGAUAUACCUUCCAGUAUCCGGAGUUCCACUUAGAGAGGACUCCCCUUCUGACUUCACCCCAUCCCCCUGAGCUCACAGCCAUUCCUCUGACAGCAUAUGGACCAAUGGCAGCAGCAGCAGCGGCAGCAGCAGUAGUUAGAGGCUCUACCCCGUCUCGUACAGCUGGAUUUUUAGGUACGAGCAGCCCGGGGCCGAUGGCCGACCUUUAUGGGAGCGGUCAGGAGUCGGCAGUCAGCAGUUACCUCAGCGCCGCAAGCCCCGCCCCCAACGCUGGAUUCGGCCACGGUUUGGGGCUGUGUGCCGUCAUGACUCCGGGUGUGUGCAGUUAUUCUUUCAACAAAACACUGUAGCAGCUCACUUCAGGCCCUUUGAUCGCUACGGCCUUCACUAACGGCUAUCACUGAGACAGCUGCAGACAAAGAGCUGGUGGGAGUUGAAGCUGCUCUGGAGCUGAUCUGCCCAGGUCUCUGCCCCCCUAUCGGGCGGAGCAACUGAACUUCCACCCGGUGUCAGCCUGCCACCCUGCUGACGCCUCACUAAACUCCACCUCCUGAGGGGAAAAAAGAAAAAAACUUCAUAAAAGGAGCGAAAAGUCACUUCAUGUAAUAGCAACACAUACAGAUGCUGUCUUUUUUUGUCUUUUUUUGUUCUGUUCUUAUGUUUCAACUUACUGUUUUUGUUGUUGUGAUGGUUGUUUCUUUAUCUGUUUUGUUUUAUUGGGUUGUAUUUGAACCUGAUCUAUCUGAGAUAAGAGGAGAAAAAAGAAAUCUCCAGGAUCUGUCAUUUGUACUGGAAAAACUGUAUAUUUGUCAGUAGUUCAUACUGAAUUUUAACAAAACAUUUGUGAUUAAUACUAUCUCUUGAAAAUGUGUCACAAAGUGUAUAUCUUGGUAGGUUUUUAACAAAGACUUGUUUCACUAAUAAUGGUCAAAUGUCAUUAGUUGCAGUUACAUAUUAGGCCUACAUGAGCUGUACAAUUGUAAAAUAUUGUAAAUACGACUCUGGUUUGGGGGGGGGCUCCGCUAAAGUUUGUUUUGUGGGAGGUGGGAGGCUUUUUGAGGAAUAAUAAUACGAUUGCUUUUUUCAUCAAAGCGUAUGUGUUGGAAAGCUUGACUGUUACGUAUCAUAGUUUCACAUGAAGGUCAAAAACAUGUCAGUAUGUUUGUCAAUAUUAAACCAGCCACAUACUGUAUUUCUCUCCAGGCAUUUUAUAAAGGAUGUGUCAUUUCAAUCUGUGUUAAAACACCUUGAGUUCAGCAGGAGAGAGGCUGCAACAACACUUUUACUUUUUGGGGAUAAAUGCGUGUGAAAAUGCUCCUCUUUCAGAAGGGGAGAUUAAAACGUGCUGAUUUAUUACUUUGUCAUAUUGCUGUUUUAACUGUGAUUUUCAAUAUGUGAUUAUUAUUUGUGAAGGAAAAUGAAGGAGUAGUGUGCAGGAGCGGUCGAGCAGAGAGAAAUCUGUAAUGACUGCUCCGCUCUGCAGGUUGUGUUGAUGUUUGCGUGACAUAUGGUCUUAUACACAUUGGUUUUCAAUGUGCCAUGUGCUGUUUUAUUGGGGCGGAUGGUACCUCAGUUUCAAAUGUGAAAUUUUAAUCUGACUUUUUUGUAUUAUUACAUUAACAUCAAGUGUGGAUGGUUGCACCUUUUUAGAAGGUGGCUUUCCUACAGGAAAGGAGGGGGGUCUAAUUAAUUCAUCUACCCUCAAAUCAAUCACUACAUAUCCACUGGAUGUCACAGACUGUAGCAAUGUGACAGCUUUUUUUAGACCAAAACCAUUAUGUUCAGAGCUACUAGGACUUUGCACUGGCCGAUCACGAUACAUGUGUUUUCCUUCGAACGUUAGAAGCGUAAGAACAAAGCACUCUCGAUCUACGAAGUACCAGGUUUCUCAUUUUGAUACACUCGCUCACACUGCUGCGGGCUACCACGGUAGUUCAUACUUUGAUGCUGUUUUCACUGAAAAAUAACAAUCUUGUCAACACUGUAACAUUUUUUGAUUUUCUUUUUCCUGUCAUGUUUAUUCCUUUGAAAAAAAAACCUUUUUAAAAUUCCUAAUAAAUUAUUUUAAAACAUUCCA